CUGGCCGCCGCGCAGCCCGACGGGGACUUCCGGCACCACCCCGGAAGUCCCGGUCGGGCUCCCGCUUCCGCCUCAGUGGGGCAACAUGGCCGCCGUCUUGCCCCCAGAAGUCAGUGACAAGCGAAAUCAGAGCCUUGCUCUCCUAGGUUUUCCACCGUCCCCUCGAAAGCCCAGACUUCGUACGGUGGCUUCGGGGCUCCGCCUGCCCUCCAGGCUGACUUCCUCAGGUGGCCCCGCCCCUGCGCCCCAGCCUCCUGCCGCCCCGCCCCAGGACGGGGGUCUCUGCCUCCACACUGUUGAUAUGGGGGUGGACAGUUCUUUGUCGUGGGGGCUGUCCUGUGCCUCGGAGGACGGUCAGAGGCGUCCCCAGCCUUUGCUCUCCGCUAGAUGCCAGUUCCACCCUUGCUCCCCAGUUUUGACGACCAACAGUGUCCCUAGACAUUCCCGAGUGUCCCGUGGGCAGCAAAGUCGCCCCCACUGAGAACCUCUGACCUAGGACAAGCCAGGCUCAGGCCCUGUGUCGUCACACGGCUGGCUUCCCGUUUUCCUUCGACCCUCAGCUCAAGUGUUGACUCCUUGUAAGCCUUUCUUGACCAGGCCAUCUCAAGUGGCUCCCACCCCCAUCCCACUGCCCUGUUUUAGUUUCUCCAUAGCACCUGCCACGUGUUUCGUUUAUUGCUUUGUCUUCCCAGCUUGUAUGCGGUCCCCACAAGUAUAAGGUCCAUGGUGGCAGGUUCUUGGGUGUCCUGUUCCUUACCGUGUCCCCGGCACCUGCCAACUGCCUGGCACCUGGUGGGGUGGAAGAGGGUCCUCCAAAAACAGACCCCGGCAUCGCUGCAGAAACUGGGACCACGCUGCAAUGAUUGAAUUAGUGGGAGGCCAUUUCCUCUUCCUUCCUCCAUCCUUAACUCCAGCUAAGACCAGGAUGGAGCCGUCAGCUGGGAAGUGGGCUUGCCUGUGGGUCAUCCGGGUCACCGUCGCGCAGGGCUGGCUCUGUGGCUUGCUUUGGCGAGGAGAAUGUGGCAGCAGUGUUCCUGGGCCAGGUCUGGGCCUAAACCGUAAGAAGUUCUGGCAGCUUCCCAUUUUGUGCCUUGGGAGCCCUGAACCACCAUGUGAGAAGUCCAGCUGCCUGGCUGGAGAGGUCACACAUGGAGGGAGACUCUGCAGCUGCGUGGAAAGGGGGUCCCAUUGCCCCAGCCUCCCAGCCAACCUGCGAGCUGAGUGAAGCCACGCACAUAACUGUCAGCAAGACCAACAGAAAAAGUGCCCAGCUGAGCCUCAACCCAGAUUGCAGAAUCGUGAACAAAUAAAACAGUUGAUUUUAACCUGCUAACUUCUGGUGACGAGUUCAGGAGCCUGGACUCUGACCAUCAGAACGUGAAAUUCCCCUGGGGCCCAGGAGAGAACAAGGGACAUAAUUGGCACAGUCAGGCUGAAGGAAAGGACUCUGAUUUCAUGACUGCGAGAGAGAAACACUCUUCCAAACGGCACGAAUCAGGAAGCCUAGAGCCCUCACUGCUGCUGGCGGCUGUUUCACAACCGUGUGAUGAAGCAGUUUAGGACGAAGCCAGCUUUGUGGAUGGCACGGUAGAGAACCAGGGAGAAGUUAGAUAACAAAAGAUAAUAAGGGAGAAGUUAGAUAACAAAAGAUAAUAAAUCUUAUAUUGUUUAAGCCACUGCGUUGGGCUUUCUGUUACUUGUAGCCAAAAGUCGCCUAUUGUGAUUCUACCAAAAAGUGGGAAAAUAAAAGAACGAACAAUAGGGAAACUGGACUUUUUUCUCAUGCCUCGCCUAAUUUGUCUUAGAGUUUUCUGCCUGGCCCCUGUAAUCAGUCGGUUUGCAGCCCCUGUACUGAGCCCCAAUGAUUGUACGGCUAAGGAAUUGGUGUAAGUCGACUCUCACCACUUGGUUGGGUAUACUUGUAAUACACCUUUGUUCUUGAAAAUAAUUGUAUGAGUCUCUGCACCUAAAAUAAUCAAAUAAAUAAUGACCUGACUCAUACAGCAGGUGUCUAGGGGAUGGGUAACAUUGUCUUACAAAACACAGUUUUGUGGGUAGCCUCUUCACCUCAAGGGCCUUCUGGGAAAGAGGACCUUACUGCAAGGAGGCUUGCAGUGUGGACCAGAAUUGGAAAUGCACUGUUUGCUCUGAAAUGCAGGGCCCUUCCUUCUCUGGCCCUUGUGCCUUGCUCAGUGAGUGGAGCUCAGAGAAGAUGCUAUCUGAUGGAGUGAAUCCAGAAGCCAUCAGAGACGGAGGACAUUUCAGGGGCCAUCUAAUUCCUCCAGCGUUUCUCACGACAUUUCUGCUUCCUGUUUCACAUCUGCCUUGCUCACCCCUUGCUGCCAGACAGUUGCAGCUGCUUAUUCCCAAUUUCAGCUUCCUCAAAAGGCUGGUUUCCAAGUACCCAUCACAGACUUUCUGUGCCAUCUGCACAUCACUGUCUCGUUCAGUCAACAAAUAACUGUUGAGCACCUACUCCAUACGUCACGACAGCUCAGUGUCAGCUCUCAUGUCCGAGGCUUCUGCUUUUCUGGUCUCCCAGUUCCCUGCAGAGGGCCUCUGAUAGGCCCAGCUCAUCUUUAUGCAUCAGGCCAUGGCCUAAGUCAGUAGCCAUUUCAGAGCCACAGGCCAUGUCAUCCAUCUUUUGACUCUCCUUGGGAACAGAGAGUUGUCAUAAAUUCUGUUUAUCUCAGGGAGGCCCUGUUGCAACAGUUCUAUCUGGCUGCAGAUAAUCUUGGUAGAAGCAGAAAAGAUAAGAAAUAAAAACACAGUCCACCAGUAGAAUGGAAUCAGGCUUUAUCUUCUUGAGCCCAAAGCAAGGCAACGCUAACCUGCCUUAGUGUGAGUUAACCCGGCUCUCAGAAUGACUUGUGCUUUAUUUUUACGGAGGAUGUGAGAGUGUGUGGCCAGGAGGAUGGGUUUUUGUUUGGCUUUUCUCAAGCCCUCGUUUUAUUUGACCCUUGUGAGUAGCAGCCUCUACUUCUUGGGUUCUUUUCCUGCUGUGUUUUAGAAACCCACAAGACACCUGCAAAAGCGAGGCAUUCACCAGUACAAGGGCAGGCAGAACAGGGAGGGAGAGAGUGAGUAAAAGAAAGUGAACUUCUGCUUCCUCCUAUUUGAAGAAGCGCAAGAUGGAUGUUCACAAAUGUGGGACCACACCUACCCUUUCCAUUUUAACUAGCACUUUUAUACUUUCUUAUAAAUAUCUUUAUAUUGCAAUAAUAAAGUAGAUAAUUGGCAGUUAGAAGUGUAUUUGUUUUUUAGAUUAGGCCUUACAGGAAAGAUCAGUGGAGAUGAAUACAAAGGAUGAGAACUGAAGCAUACAUUUGAAAUAAUUCAGCAUUUGAUAAUAAAGACAUUUCCAAUCCACGGGGCAAAGAAUGCAUUAUUGAAUAAAUUCCGUUGGAAUAAGCGACUGAACGUGUGGGGAAAAUAGGCUGCACAUUUCAUACCAACAUAAAUUCCAGAUGGAUAAAAUAUUGUCAUGGAGAAAUCAAAAAUAUAAAAGCAUUAAGAGAAAAUAUUGGCAAAUAUAAAAUCUUAGGGAGAGGAAUGCUUUUCUAAGCCCAGCACUAAAGCCAUGAAGGAAAACGUUAAUCGAUUUGACUACAUAAAGACUUCAAACUUACUUGUAUAAAAAAGAAUAAUUGCAGUGAACAGCAAACUGAAAAAAUAUUUGCGAUACAUACGACGAAGUUAAUGUCAUUAUUUUAUAAAGAGUUCUUAGGAAUCUCAUGAAAUUUAUUGGAUAAACAUCCAAUAUAUAAAACUGACAAAGUGAAUGUCCAGGCAAUGUAGAGGGUGGCUGUCCUUUGGUCCUCCUCAGCAUUUGUCCCUCCUCUGGUGACAGCACCUUGAUUAUCUUGGUUCAUCAGUGCUCCCUGUGGUUGAGGUAGGACUUGGUGGUCCCCUAAACCAGGAGUGGUCAUGUGACCUAAGCCUAUCCAGUCAGCAGUAGUCCAUCUAUUGAGCUGCAGUGAUUGGCUCAAACAUGGACAUGUGACCCAAGUUGAUCCAGUCACAGCUACUCCUGUGACAUUCUGGUGACCAGGAAAAAACUGAUUCCUCUUGCAGUUGGAUUUGUAAUUAUAUACACCUGGAGUUGUUGGGGCCAUCUUGUGAAACCCAAGAAUUAAGCAACCCAGAAGAAAGUAGAGAUGAGGAGAGGAAGGCCUUGUUUCAAAAAGACAUUUUCUAGGUCUUGGUUCUGACAAUGCCUUAAAGUAGCUUUUUUCCUGGACAUUUCAGUUGGGAGCCUAUAAAUUUUUUUUUGAUUAAGAAAAUGUGACUUUCUGUCGCUUGCAAUUGAAAAAGUCCCAACUAAUACAAGCAAUACAUACACAUGUAUGACACAGAGAAAAGACAAAACACAAAUGCCCUUCAUGAAAAAAGGUCAAAUUACACCAAUAAUGUUAAAAUGGAAAAAGGACAGACAUGUUUGUCACUUGAACUGAAAAUACCCAGUGUUGGCAAGGUUUUGGGAAAUGAGUGCACUCAUAAGUAACCAAUGGAAAGGUAAAUUGGUGCAACUUUGCUGGAGGGCAAUUAGUCAUUAGUAUGAAAAUCACAUUCGCCUACACUUUGUGCAGUUACACUUCUAGGAAUUAAAGAAUGUGUGCAGAGACUUAGCUAUAAAAUAUUCAUUGUAAUGUUGCUUAAAGUAGCAAAAAGCUCAGAAACAGCAAAGAUGUACAAUAAGAAGGCAUUGAUUAAAUAAAUUAUAGUGCACGCAUACACUGGAGAUACUAUGUAGUUAAUCAAAUGACAUUGUAGAAGUAGGAUUCAGAGGAGGAAAACUAUUUGUGGUGUGUUAUUCUAUUUUCUAUUGUUGUGUAACAAGGUACCACAACUUUAGUGGCUUCAGACAACACGCAUAUAUUAGCUCACAGUCCUGUAGGUUAGAAGUCUGGGUGUGGCUGGCUGGGUUCUCAGCUGGGGGUCUCACAGCUGAAAUCAAGCUGUGUGCUGGGCUGAGAUCUCAUCUGGAGCUCUUUCCAGCUCACGUGG